AGGGCGCACGGUGGAUGCCUUGGCACUAGGAGCCGAUGAAGGACGGGACUAACACCGAUAUGCCUCGGGGAGUUGUAAGUAAACUUUGAUCCGGGGAUUUCCGAAUGGGGGAACCCACUGUUCGUAAUGGAACAGGACAUCUAUCUGAAUACAUAGGGUAGAUGAGGCAGACCCGGGGAACUGAAACAUCUCAGUACCUGGAGGAAGAGAAAGAAAAAUCGAUUUCCUGAGUAGCGGCGAGCGAAACGGAAAGAGCCCAAACCAGGAAGCUUGCUUCCUGGGGUUGUAGGACACUCCAUUGGAGUUACAAAGAAAUUCUUUAAAUGAAUCGACUUGGAAAGGUCAGCCAAAGAAGGUAACAGCCCUGUAGUUGAAAAGGAAUUUCCUCCGGAGUGUAUCCUGAGUACGGCGGAACACGUGGAAUUCCGUCGGAAUCCGGGAGGACCAUCUCCCAAGGCUAAAUACUACCUAGUGACCGAUAGUGAACCAGUACCGUGAGGGAAAGGUGAAAAGCACCCCGGGAGGGGAGUGAAAUAGAACCUGAAACCGUGUGCCUACAAGUAGUCGGAGCCCGUUAAUGGGUGACGGCGUACCUUUUGUAGAAUGGACCGGCGAGUUACGAUCGUAUGCAAGGUUAAGUGGAAGACACGGAGCCGUAGCGAAAGCGAGUCUGAAUAGGGCGAAGGAGUAUGCGGUCGUAGACCCGAAACUGUGUGAUCUACCCAUGUCCAGGGUGAAGGUCAGGUAACACUGACUGGAGGCCCGAACCCACGUAUGUUGAAAAAUGCGGGGAUGAGGUGUGGGUAGCGGUGAAAUUCCAAUCGAACACAGAGAUAGCUGGUUCUCUCCGAAAUAGCUUUAGGGCUAGCCUCAAGAUAGUGAGUACUGGAGGUAGAGCACUGAUUGGACUAGGGGCCCCUACCGGGUUACCGAAUUCAGUCAAACUCCGAAUGCCAGUUACUUCAACUUGGGAGUCAGACUAUGGGUGAUAAGGUUCAUAGUCGAAAGGGAAACAGCCCAGACCGCCAGCUAAGGUCCCAAAAUAUACGUUAAGUGGAAAAGGAUGUGGCGUUGCACAGACAACCAGGAUGUUGGCUUAGAAGCAGCCAUCAUUGAAAGAGUGCGUAAUAGCUCACUGGUCGAGUGACGCUGCGCCGAAAAUGUACCGGGGCUAAACGUAUUACCGAAGCUGCGGAUUGUUCUUACGAACAAUGGUAGGAGAGCGUUCAAAGUGCAGAGAAGUCAGACCGUGAGGACUGGUGGAGCGCUUUGAAGUGAGAAUGCCGGUAUGAGUAGCGAAAAAAGAGUGAGAAUCUCUUUCACCGAAUGCCUAAGGUUUCCUGAGGAAGGCUCGUCCUCUCAGGGUUAGUCGGGACCUAAGCCGAGGCCGACAGGCGUAGGCGAUGGACAACAGGUUGAUAUUCCUGUACCACCUCAUGAUCGUUUGAACAAUGGGGGGACGCAGGAGGAUAAGGAGUGCGCACUGAUGGAUGUGCGUCCAAGCAUGCGAGGAAGUCAGACAGGCAAAUCCGUCUGAUAUAUUUCUGAGCUGUGACGGGGAGGGAAAUAGAGUACCGAAGUUCCUGAUUUCACACUGCCAAGAAAAGCCUCUAGUUAGAUCAUAGGUGCCCGUACCGCAAACCGACACAGGUAGGCGAGGAGAGAAUCCUAAGGUGAGCGGGAGAACUCUCGUUAAGGAACUCGGCAAAAUGACCCCGUAACUUCGGGAGAAGGGGUGCUCACUUGUGAGUGAGCCGCAGUGAAUAGGCCCAAGCGACUGUUUAGCAAAAACACAGGUCUCUGCGAAGCCGAAAGGCGAAGUAUAGGGGCUGACACCUGCCCGGUGCUGGAAGGUUAAGGGGAAGAGUUAGCUCUUCGGAGCGAAGCUUUGAACCGAAGCCCCAGUAAACGGCGGCCGUAACUAUAACGGUCCUAAGGUAGCGAAAUUCCUUGUCGGGUAAGUUCCGACCCGCACGAAAGGUGCAACGACUUGGGCACUGUCUCAACGAGAGACCCGGUGAAAUUAUACUAUGCGUGAAGAUGCGCAUUACCCGCGACAGGACGGAAAGACCCCGUGGAGCUUUACUGUAGCCUGAUAUGGAAUGUUUGUGCAGUUUGUACAGGAUAGGUGGGAGCCUUUGAAGCGUGAGCGCCAGCUUACGUGGAGGCACCCGUGGGAUACCACCCUAACUGUAUGACCAUUCUAACCCAGGACCGUAAUCCGGUUCGGAGACAGUGUCAGGCGGGCAGUUUGACUGGGGCGGUCGCCUCCUAAAAGGUAACGGAGGCGCCCAAAGGUUCCCUCAGAAUGGUUGGAAAUCAUUCGUAGAGUGUAAAGGCAGAAGGGAGCUUGACUGCGAGACCUACAAGUCGAGCAGGGACGAAAGUCGGGCUUAGUGAUCCGGUGGUUCCGCAUGGAAGGGCCAUCGCUCAACGGAUAAAAGCUACCCCGGGGAUAACAGGCUUAUCUCCCCCAAGAGUUCACAUCGACGGGGAGGUUUGGCACCUCGAUGUCGGCUCAUCGCAUCCUGGGGCUGUAGUCGGUCCCAAGGGUUGGGCUGUUCGCCCAUUAAAGCGGUACGCGAGCUGGGUUCAGAACGUCGUGAGACAGUUCGGUCCCUAUCCGUCGUGGGCGUUGGAAGUUUGAGAGGAGCUGUCCUUAGUACGAGAGGACCGGGAUGGACACACCGCUGGUGUACCAGUUGUUCCGCCAGGAGCAUAGCUGGGUAGCUACGUGUGGAAAGGAUAAGUGCUGAAAGCAUCUAAGCAUGAAGCCCCCCUCAAGAUGAAACUUCCCAUCACUUCAAGUGAGUAAAAUCCCUCAGAGACGAUGAGGUUGAUAGGUCCGAGGUGGAAGCGUGGCGACACAUGCAGCUGACGGAUACUAAUCGAUUGAGGACUUAUCU
rnacentral:rRNA from 1 species